rnacentral:tRNA from 1 species
GAAGUCGUAGUUCAGUGGUAGAACCCUCACUUUCCAUGUGGGAGACCUGGGUUCAAUUACCAGCCAAUGCA